rnacentral:rRNA from 1 species
AUGAGGAAAAAUUUAUUGGAAUUUAUGAUUACAAUGUAUGAUAGUAGUAGAAAGCGAUUUAUUAUUCGGCCAAAUACUGACAGCAUCAGUGUGCUUAAUGAAGAUGUUUAUGACAUAUUCGGGCUACGUAACAAGGGUGAUGAUGUCAAUAGCAUGAUAGCAACAGUACAACUAGACGCCAAAAAAAUUUCAUAUGAUGAUGAUUUUGUGAGAAGGGCCGUACUGGUUCUUAUGGGUACAGUCUUAGCGCCACAAUCCACCAAGUUUGUUCCUUCUCGUUAUUACCAAAUGGUGGAGGACGUGAACGCUAUCAAAUCAUACAAUUGGAACAAUUUCAUGUUGGGGGUGUGCAUGGAUGCUAUUAAAAAAUCGGUCGAAGAUCUUGAAAAAUUCAAGUGGCCUAUCGGGAACUUGGCUCUUCUUCAGAAACGGAAGGGAAAAAGCAAGACGACUAUGACAACAUGCACGGGCGUGGCACCGGCAAUAUUGAAAACUGUGUUAGCGAAGAGUACAGACGUGCUAAGGUUGAACACAGAAGGUGUGCUGUACAAACCCAAUAAGAGGGACAACAAAGACGAAUUUGAUAAUGUAGGUGAAGGAGUUGGGAUGGAGAAUGGCUAG